AUGAUGUACUGCCAUGUGGUACCAUUAGGAAGCACGUUUGCAAUGACAUAUUUCAGUGUGACUGGGAUAAAGUGUGUCUGUAUCACUAUUUUUCUGAUUAAAGAUGCCCGUGGGGACAUCACGAUGACUCAGUCUCCAGGCUCCCUGGCUGUGUCUCCAGGUCAACGGGUCACCGUCAACUGCAGAGCCAGUCAGAGUGUUAGCAACCGUGUAGCCUGGUACCAGCAGAAACCUGGGCAGGCUCCCAGGCUCCUCAUCUAUGGUGCAUCCAACAGGGCCACGGGCAUCCCAGACCGGUUCAGCGGCAGUGGGUCUGGGACUGACUUCACCCUCAGCAUCAGCAACCUCCAGGCCGAAGAUGUGGGGGACCAUUACUGCCAGCAGUAUGAUAGCUCUCCACCCACAGUGCUUCAGCCUCAAACACAAACCUGCUCCCCGGGGCUGAGGGUCAGGGAGGCUUUGCUGCACCAGCUGCUUCCUCUUCACUCAGCCUGA